AGUGCGUGCUGCCAGCAGCCUAGCACUGUGGGGUCCCGGCCGAGCCGGGGUCCGUCGUGCCCCGUGCAGGGCAGCCCACGGGGCACCAGGGCUGCGCUGGGUGUCAGUGGGCAGUGGGUGUCAGCAGGCGGUGGAUGUCAGCAGCUGGCUGAUGAACCUUCUGAAGGCUAAGCCCUAGCAAGAAGCGUGAACAGCACAUCAGUCCUGUAAAAGACUGGAAUUUGCCAAGGGAGCCUGAGGGAAUUCAGCACCCAAAGCCUACUGAUGACAAAUGGGUUUGGGAGACCAGAACUCUCAGCCUGAAGGAGGAUGGCAGUGCUGCUGCAUGUCCAGGGAACUGUGAGCCAUUAACCUUUCCACUGGCACUCGCAACGAAGAGCUGGAAGAUAAACACAUUGGAUGAUGGGUGACUCUCAGCCUGAAGAUCCUGGGCCUCGGUGUUGACUACAACCACGAAAUAUACCCCAGCUACUGAAAUAACUUGUUUCCUUGAGAAGCUGUCACAGCUUACAAAAAGACUACUUUUCAUACCGCACCAUUCUGUUAAGCUAUUUAAAUGAGAAAAUGCUCCCAUGACUUCUGCUGAAAGACCACCCCUGGGUCUGAGGGGAGGGAUCAACCCAAGGCAGCUCACAGCCCCUUCCUGCAGGUGGAACCCGGAGACCGCCAGGAACAGCCCAAAGCCAGAGAGAUGUCACAGCCACCAGUGUGGAUCAUGUGGAGGGAGCACGUGUGUUUUUCCUGAAGGGAAAGAGCAGGAUCUCUUUCCCUGCCCAAGUGGCCAGUGGCACAUCCAACCAGCCAACCUCCUACUGUGGACCUGCUGGUCAGCCCUCUGGCUGGAAGUUUCUUCCAGAGAUGCUGAACAAAACGCACGUAGCUACAAUGAUAGAUUCAGAAGAGCUGUUAACACUGGAGCAGCAUUUGAAAGCACCUAUUUUUCUGUGAGAAGCUAGAUUUCCAUGGAAAUUCUGUAUGAAUUCGUGAAACCAUCUCAUUAAAUGACAAAACGUUGACUUGGGGCAAAAACUUGAAGUUCGGAGUGUGAAGUAUGUGCCAUGCAUCAAUAGAAGAGUUCAUGCAGCUCAUCCAGGUCAGGAUCCAUACCAGGAGCACUGCUGGCGGGGUUUAUCUUCACUUUCAGGAUCUUUCAUCCCUGUGAUAUUCAAAUAUCUUCACAAACCAAGAACACGCUGAAGUCAAAGGCCUGGUUUUGGCAUUAUUUCAAACUACUUGUUUGACUUUCAGGAUAGAUACAAGCCAAGAUAACCAGCAGUACCCAAUAAUUUUGUAUAUUAUCAGUUCUAAAAAGCCUUAUUUGUCACAGUCAGCGUGCUCAGCACCUGUGACAUCCAGCCCUGAUGAGACAAUUGAGCUGGGCAAGUGAAAUCCCGCUACUCAUCGUUUUUGAGAAGGGAAGGAAGAUUUUACAGCUGGCACCGUGCUAGCAAGUGGAAGAGGAAACCUCCUUCACAUAUAGAGCAAAUACUUAAAACCAUACGGCAUAUUGAUGGCCACAAUCAGACGUUUUUAUUAACGCUCUCCUCCCUUCAGCUACAUGAGUGUGCAGUCACGGCUUAUCACCUGUACAAAUAUUAUUUCUGAGUGUAGCUAAGCCUGCGCCAGGACUCUCUUGAGAAAUACGCUUAGAGGAACGAGUGAUUUGUCACACAAGUCCUGGAUGUGUUUAUAGGGAGUCUGUAUGUGAAGCAAAAGUCAUGAAUAAGCACAUGAUUUUGCAAACAGAUCUGAGAAGAUGUGGCCAGAUAUCCAUAAAAACUAUGCAAGACUGGAGCAGACAAGCUCUAUAAAACUUCUGAGGAGGUAAGGAUGUGAUCUCGGAAAGAUCAACAGUAAACUGCCACAGAAAGAACUUUUUUUUUCCUCCUAAAAUAUGACUUAUUUGAGACUUGUGAUCAUUCUAACCUUCCAGACUGAAAAAAUGAGAGCUUUGAGGCUGGCAGAAAAGUUGGUCUACCCUGUAUUUAUUCUUUGCAUUACAAACCUUUGCCCACUAAGAAAGAUACCUUUCUUGGACCAAGGAGAUACAUGCUUGUUCCCAGUCAUACUGUGUACUUUGACUUCUCUUGUGAAUGUGUAAAAGAAACCUGCUUUUAUUUUAAAUCACAAACACAACCUGAGUGGAGGGACACUCAUAAAUCAGAGUGAGCAUGCAUUGAGGUGGUCAGACAAAGUGCCCUAGGCUGAACAUAUAACACAUGAAAUCCAGUGAUCCAUGCGCAAUGGUUCCGGAGCAGAACCCGUCCACGGGCAAACACACAAGACAGGUUAUCCUGCCCACCUGGCCCAGAGCGACACAAAUGCCCCCGGUCCCAAAAGCUGAAAACGAGCUUCCAUGAGUCGUUACCCAAACAUACAGCUGGGGAAUGCCAGCUCCUGCCGCAGCCUUGUGGGAUUUCCCCAUUAGGAACUGGCGCCCCAGUUCAGCCUGCUGAUGGGAUCCCAGUGCCAAGCUAACGCAGAGCUGCCCUGGGCUAGGACAGCACUGGGGCUUCCAGGAGCCUAAGUGCCGCCUCUCCCUCCCUGUUGGCAUCACCUGAGGCGAGGGCCCAUUGCAGCCCUUUCAGCAUGCUGCCCUCAUCAUCAAAAAAAAGCAUUUGCUGUCACACUGUCAAGAACCGCAAGCCAGACUGGCUCACCCUCCACUUACUGCCAGCCGGCACCCCGCUUUAACCAGAGCUUCAGCUCAGGGUCAGGGUGUUGGUUUUAAUUGCCAUUUUUAUUCUUUAAUUUCAAAGCAGCUGGGGGAGGAAGCAAAGCGCUGGUGCAUGCCCCCGCGGCGGGCGCAGGCCCCAGCCCCAGCACACCCACCACCGCUCCCGCGGAAUGCCCCAGCCGCCGCGUGCAGGAUUCCAAGGCUCUGAUGCAGGCAUGGCAAUGCGCAGGGCAGUGCUGCAGAGCGGGGACAGGCACCCCGACACCUGGGGGACCUCUCACCACCAUGCACGCUCCUUCCCAUCCAGCUGGAAGGCAACAGCAGGAACCUGUACAAGCCUGAACAGAAAACAACCCCGUGCCUCCGCCGCAAAGCCAGCUGCCCUGUGCUGAAGCAGAGCCAGUUGUCAGCCCCAGCCGGGUUCCGAUGGCGGUUACAGCUCUUAAUUAUUACCAGCCUGGCUCCCUGAAUGUUCACAUUUUUUCACAGUUACUAAAUAAGUUAAUCACUUCAUGAACAAGGAAAUCUGCAGAUGCCUUUGAGGCUUUGUUAACAUAGUGCCUAAGCCAGCUUUACACUCUCUUCUAAUCCUCUUUAAGACAGUAUGAGGCAGUGAAGUAGCCUAUAAUCAGUUUUUAAGGUUAUAGACAAUAUCCCCACUCAAGCUGGUUGCCUAGAGCAACAGUGCAGAAACGGAAUGCUAGCAAUGAGAUUGGAUUACUUGCCUUGUUUAUUCAUCCAUAUAUAUUUAUCUUCUGCUCUGCCUACUGCAGACACAGGGAUUUUUGUAGCCUGUGCCUUACAUGUCCGGAUGCAGAGCAGAAUUUAUGUAAAAAAAUGCAGACAGGCUUCAAGAAUUAAUCUCUUUCCAUUUCUGAUUCUCUCCUUGCCCUCUCCACCUCAAUACCUCAAAGUUCAAAACACUCCCAGAAUUGAGAUUGCUUGCCGUGUCUCAGCAGCAGUAACAGCCUUCCCACUGCUCUGCAUCCACACAGAGGUGGACAGCCCUCCUCCAUGGGCACUAGCAUCACCAGCGAUACUUGGGCAGCCUGGACCGCCCACUCACCAGAGCAGGCAGCAGGAGCUGCUAUUUCACCUUCACUGGGGACCUGUCCCAGCCUGACCUACGGGAGCCCCCAGCUACCAUUUGCGUAAAGUAAAUUGCUCUGCAUUUGACAUCCACUGAGGAGCAGUCAGCACGUGUCCGUUUCUCUCAGCUACGAGCAUUCUGGCUUCAUCGUCUUUCCUUGAAAAGCUGGAUUUUUCCCUCUGGCCAAACCCACUUCCCUUUGGUACCUCAAGCUUAGGCAUUUAGUUUCCACCAGUGUCAGAGCAACUUGUCUGUCCGUUCUUGCCUGCAGGGGCUCUUCCGAUGGACCUGCUGUAACCGGGGGUAAAUCCAGGCUCUUCCUCAGAAAACCAGGUGAUAGCAAAGCUCCAUUACAGAUGGAAGAGCCAUAGCAAUGACGCUGAGACUGCAGUCAGCGACUUCCCAGCUGUUACCAACAAACUUCAGAGCUAGCAGAUGGCCAAGGAGCACCUGAAGCAGCGUCCUGAACAGAAACAGCCUGUGUGCUUCCCCCACCUACUGAAGGUGCAGCGCGGAGGGUUAGAGCCACCCACGAGAAGGUCAGAUCAAGCUGCUGUGGUUCAGCUUCCAGAAAGACCUACUCCUACUGCAACAACAAAUUUCAGUGGGGUUUUGGUAUCCCACCAGCUUCUUUGGACAUCCCAAAGUGCACAGGGAGAGCAUAUCCUAGUGCUGCCAUGCUUUUGCUAAUCUAAAUCUUCUUGGAGUUCACACCUUGUGCCUGAAAUGUAACCAGUCUCUCCCAUGCACAGGCCAACAUACCCUUCUGGAGCUUUCUCUAACCUCAGCCAAUGAAUACAAAAACCUCAGCAUCAGUUGUUAACAGUGAAGCUGAAAGGAUCUUUUUCACCUCUUACAUUCCAGAACCUCCCUGGAGCUCGGCUGUGUUUGGUGGCCAAAUCGACCCACGGAACUGGCCUCUGCUGCGCGAUGGACAUCAUUUACCAGAGUAGCUUCUCAAAGAAAAAGCAAUUCAGCCAGCUUCCUCACACACUUGGAGUAUCACACCCUUGUGCAGCCCCGUUACGUGGCAGUUACUCCUCUUUAUUGCAGGUCAGCAGCGAGGCACUGGCGCCUGCAGCUGCUGAGGAGCACGGGCUGCGUGAAGGCAGGGCAGAGGACCGAGUCUCAGGAACCAACACAGAGUUUUCAACGUCAUCUGGGACACGUCACUUCAUAAGUUGGUUCUUUACUAGUAAAACGGCGUAUUCAUUCAAGAAAAAAAAAAAAAAAGACUAGAGGUUUGACAGAUACUAUGUUUGCUGAGAAACUGAUUUUUAAAGAUGUGAGCAGCAGAUGACGGUGGUGCAUGGCUGCUGUGAAGCAAAGGGGGAGCGGGGCAGGCAGGUUGCUGCUCAGAGGGCAGCCGAACCACGAGCCCAAGGCACGGCAUGGCAGGGCACUGCCAAAUAAACAGCCGAAUCUGGGGAAGGAUGAAGUGUAUACCUUCAGUAUUUUCAAAAAAGAAACUUCAUGGCUUUUCAGUUUGAUAGUGGCAUUUUUUUGUUUUGGGGUUUUUUUCCCCUCACAUUAAGUCACCCAAAUGAAGAGGAAAGAGGAAAACCAGGAGUUCAUUAACUCCAAACCAAACCAGAACAUUUUGUUUUGGACUUUACUGGAUGUUUCAAGUUGACCCACAAUGAAAGCGUUGUGGUUUUCUUUUCACUGAAGAAAACCGGAAAACAAAAAUGCCUGUCUUAAACUGCCACGACCCACUCCUGCCUGGAACCCGCCUUUGGCUCCUGCACUGACGCCCAGGGUGGGCGAUUCCCCCCACUCCUGCCUGACCGCUGGGACCCUCCACCCCGCCGGGGCCGUGCUGCCUUAGCUGUUUGGGACCCUCUACGACGUGUCUGAGAAGUGUCUCCCGCGGGGGAAUCCUGUGCCGUGUGCCACCUCUCUGCUUUUCCCAAACCCUCAGGAGGUGAGCACCCAAGGGUGGGAGCCGCACUGGCACCCGGGCCCCGUGGGGUCCCUGCAGACAGCACCGCCCCAGCCCCGCUGCCCACCGCUCCCCUUAGCCCCCACACUCACAUCAUUUCCUUGGCCUACUUUCUACUUGUCUGGCUUUUCUUUUUCCUCCCCGAGAAAUUAUUUAUUGUAGGGAUUGCCAGUGCUUAAUAAACAUCCCUCCAAGAAUAAAUUUGUUUAUCUAAGGUAUAUUAUUAUGCUGCCUCAGAUAAAAGGGGGGGGGGGGGGAUCCUCGCCAGAAUAUUUUUGACUGUGCAAACAGUGGAAAAGUGGUGUCCUUGAGCACAGUUUUCAAAGGGGAGGUUUGUCAGAAGCCAUUUCAGCGAUUAAGGAAUGAGUUAUCUUCCAAAUGAACAAAAAGAGGUGGCAGUGCAGGCCCUGGCAAUUGAUCCAGUGUGACAGAGACAGAUUUAGGAACCUCAGAGCGUUUUGUUCCAGGGGCUGCGCUGGCUGUCCUCCUGUUUCACCUUCUGUUGUCAUCCAGACUGGGUAGCGGGGGGGAGGAAGAUGGAAGCAUUGUAAAUUCAGGUUGCACAGGAUCGAGUAGCAACACAAGACAGCAGGUCAUGGAAAAUCAGGACUUCUGUCACUCAGUCCCACGGUGGUCUCUGCCUCUGCCUCAUCCCCCACCUUCUGCUGGUGUAGGAGCCUGCAUCUGUGCUGAUGAGCAACGCACGAGCUAGCAGAUCCGCUACACCAGGCAGGCUCCCCACGCCACAAAGUCAUCGAGUAACACCAGCUGGGUCCCUGGCAAGAGCAGCCCUGGGCUGUGCGAGGAGAUAAUGCAGUGAAAGGAACGCUUAUUAGAAGCAGUAAGCCUGGCAGUAGGAUUUCUCAUCUCAAAUAUGAGGUUUGCAGCAGUAUAAAUAAUGCAUGUCAUUUGCCAGCAUCCUGAAAAUUAGUUAAAGUAGGUUAGGGAGAAAAAAAAAAUUAAAAAUUGCACUCUGAUGCUCUCCAUUCAGAAGAACUUAGCUGCUUGUAAUGGGCCACUACAAAACAAGGGGACGGUAAUUAAAACCUCAUCGUCUUUUACAUGAGACUGUGCUAGCAAGAGACUAUUUCCCCCGUUGUUGGACCUGGCCCUUCACCUUCUUGUCCUGCCUGGGACAUGUGUGGCAGAUCCUGUACCUGGGGUGGGAGCAGGUCACCCAAAGGUGUGCCCAGAUGCCCCUCUGAGAAGGUGCCUGGAGAGCUGCUGGCCAGGCCGCCGGGGCUGCAGCACCUGCUGGCCCAUUGCCCUGAGGAUCCACCCUGCUUUGGGCGCUGAACCGCUCACAAGGCACAGGGAGCAGGAAGUGGCCUUCCAAAGCUCUGGAAAGUCUUCACCGAAUCGGUGCUUCCAGCCUCCAGCAUCCUGACAAUUUGCCAGAACUGGCCACUCUUCCCCUGGGCAGCUGACAGAUGGGAGAGCCCUCAGCUGCUCCUCUCGCCUCCCGCAGCCCAUCGGGGGGUCCCACCCCAACCUAGCAUCACCCACCAAAGCCCAAGCCAAGGCACCAGCAGACACGUGGGGAAGCUGCCCCAGCUGAGUGGGGAAGGGCUAGCUGAACCAUGACCCGGUGGCACAGCACGGCAUGGCACAGCAGGGCAUGGCACGGCACGGCACGGCACAGCACAGCAUGGUCCCGCGGGCGCAGGGCACCACCACCAGCAGCACAGCCCCAAGGAAAGGCACAGCAUGGGCCUGAAAUGCACCAGCCGCUCACUAUCUGCAGCGUCUUCAGGCAGCUUCGUCUUUGGUUUGGGUGACGGAAUUUGCCAGUGAAGCGUUCAAUGCCCUGAACGCUGCUGUUAGGAACAGACUUUACUUUCUGCCUGUCGUUACUCAAGUAUAACCGACGUACAGCCUAAGCAACAGCAACUACGAAGGAGCCCUUUGGAUUCCCUACCUUCAUCCAGCAGCAGCCUGAGCACCGUGGGUAUAACCAGCGUGCUGGGGGCCAGCGGCUCCCUCUGACUCGUCAAAAGCAAUUUCGUUACCAGCAGCAGUUCAAGCAAUGAGUCAUCUCCUUCAGAUCUAUCCAAAUUCCAGCUCCCACUGAAAUUCCCCCUCCCUCAGCUGUAACCCUCUCCCUAAUCUAAUAAUAAUUCCGCCAGCAAUAAAACACAGCCAGGCCGGUAGAAUGCUUCCUUGCUAAAAUGCCCCUGUGCACAUCAACGACGAGCUCUGUGAAGCUGUUACAGUAAAACUAAUACCCUAAAGAAAAAUUCGGAAAACCUGCAUUUUUUCCAUUUAAUUUUGAUCACCAUGGCUGGCUUCCAGUUCCUCUGUCUAAGUCCAUGGGCCUUUAGAAAACACCAGAUAUCACGAUAAAAUGGUCCCCAAGGAAAACUAAGCAGUAAGUCAGUGAUUGCCUCAAAUAAUCACCAUAUGCAUGGAAACAUACAUCUUUCUGCAUAUGACACCAAACCUUUCACUCCUGCUGGACCACACAUACAUCUUCACAGAAGUUUUCCAGGAACAAACGCCCAUCCAAACACACAGGAUACCACUGUCUGCUCCACCGGGCAAGAACAUGUCUUCAACACGGUGGCUGGUAGAUCUGUCAGCAUUACAGGAAUUAAAAGCUCUGACUCCAUUGCAGCUGGGUUCUCCAGUGACUAAAACUCCUUAUGGCAUGGGAAACAAUUUGACUCAGAAAAUACAGAAACAUCCCCAUCUGGCUUCCUGUCUCUCCUGACCCAAAUUUUGGACGCCACUCAAAAACACAUCAGGGAUCCAGAAAACUGCUGGAGCUGCCUCUUUCCCAUUGAAACAGAGCAUCCAUUCAAAACAUGGCACUCCCAGUUUUUCCAUGUUACUUCUAGAGUAUAAAGUUGCAUGAAAAACAAAUGGGACCCAGGGAGCCUUUUAUUUAAAUGAGAAACCUAUGGUUUUCCUCUCCAAAACCAAAUGAGUCAGCGUAAGAGAGGAGAGAUGUGUCACACCUUGUAGGUGAGGCAGGACAUCUUCCUCCCAAGUGAGGUUAUGACCACUUUGGCCUCUUCCCUGGGGAGGGCUGUAGGUGCUCACUAGAUCCCAACCCUUUUGUGCAGCCAGAUUAAAAGUAUUUUGGUUGGGAAGCCCUUUUCAACUGGGUCACAUCCUCUGUGGAGUUUACCCAUUCAGGCUGCAAUUUGUUUAAAGACUGAGGAGCUCUUAAUGAAGACUGCAGAAAAAUGGGGCAAAGCCCCUCCAGGUUUUGCUGUAUGUUUCCAACCAGAAGGGAGCGGGUAACUUAAGGAGUCAGAGGAUGCAUUUGACGCCAGACUCAGGCAAGGGUUACAAAACCCCUUUUUAUGUAUUUUUGAAGGAUAUCUAGAACCUGGUGUUAAUAUAAGAUAAAUGUUAAUGCAUAUGAUCAACGUAACUACUCAGUCCAUCAGCCACACCAAGCGUGGCAAUGUAAGACAUCACAGGGGCUGGUACAAACCAGGAGCAAAAGUACUAAUCAGAACACCAAAAAACCCAGGGAUGUGGCUAGAGAAGCACCCGGUUCAGGUUUUCAACUGAAUCAAGCCCCAUAAGACUAGCAGGGCAAAGGCACGUUUUAGGAUGUAUUUACUAACUUCCCUAGAUAUGUAGAUUAGGCCUGAACACGCUGCACUUCACAUCCUUCAAGUGAGGCCACACAUCACUUCGCAUGUCUUACAUCACGAGGCAGAGCUCCUGAACUACAAUUAAACCUGCACAGAGUGCUUCACAGUCUUCUGUCCUCUGUGUGUGUGUAUGCGUGUCUGUCUGUCUCCCUCCCUCUUGGGAUGGGGACCUUGCCUGUAUCCCAUUUCUGAAUGGCACUCAGCAUAGUGCAGCCUUUGUCCAAACUGGAGCUUUUCCUGGAGAGAAAAGCACCUGGAUUGCAUCUCGGGAGGCUGCGUGCAAUUGCUAUGUCAAGCCUCCCAAGUGACUGUGAGUAACUGUAUGUCUAUCUUACUUCUCUGCAAAAUAGCAGCAAUGAUUCCUCCCAUGUCCUUUGCCCAUUUCUGUGAAGACUGAGCUGUGCAUGGUGACAAGCAUCCCUCCAAAUGGGUAGAUACAGCAUCUGGAAUAAUUCACCUUCCCCACUUUCUCUGCUUUUAAGAUAAAACUGAAUCACAACAGCGUAACUGAGUUCAUUUUCCACUUAAAAGAGAAGUCUCCCAUCACAAUAUGGUAAAGCUUUGUAACAAAUGUGCUUCCUGUGCUAUUUAAUAGAAACAGCACUCAGGGAAAUGCAUACUAUCAUAACUACACACGUUAAAAAGCCAUUUAUAUGUUACUUUGUGACAAGGUCAAAAGCAGAGAUUCUAGCAUUAAGACCAGACACAUUUCAUAGCACAGACUGUAUUUACUGGAGUUGUAAUCAGCAGAUAAUUUAGCAGGCUUUGGAACUGAAUAUGGUUUACCUUCGACAGGUAAAGAAGAAACCAAACCGGCUCAGUGUGGCUGUGCUCACCGCUGGCCACCAGCCACCCUGAGCUGAGCCAGCUCUUUGAAGCUUUUUCCCUUAUUUGCUUAGGGUGCCUGGUUUGAAUUUUUGAUUUACAGUGGUCAAGUGCAGAUUUUUUUGCUUAAGCAGAACAAAUAAAACAGUAAUAUGAAAAUUGCUCACUUGUUAGAGUCUCACAGUGAGCAGAGGUGUAGGAUUGCUCCUCGUUCGCUGCGGAGCAGUUGCCUUAUGUGCCCCUACAGCGCUCUGCAUUGAGCACAGUAAUUACACCACUUCCUUCCCAUCUGGGAUUCAGUCCAAAGACAUUUUACCAAGUAACAAUGCUCUCUCUAUUCACCCGCCUCUGAACAGAAUCGUAUUGUUUAGUUUAAGUGGGCUUCCAGCCAGAAGAAGGUCAAUCAUAACAAAGCACUGACAUUAAGAUAAAGCCUAAAACUAUGCUUUAUGAAAAGCACCCAACUCUUGACAGUUGGCACUUGAGUGACAAGUUUGCACUGGGGGCGUUUCAUGUACCUACUUAGCUUUUGUAAUUUGGGUGGUGUUCAAUUUCACAUUUCUGUUUAUUUAUUGCAAACCACAGAAUCACCCUCCAGGUUUUCUCAAUUUUCUCUUAAGGAAAAUACAAUGUUCUAUUGCAAUUAAGUAAACAAAGUCGGUUUUAACAUGCACUUUAAAAAAACAUUGGUUUUUAAGCCUUCCAGUGGCCCAGCUUGUUUACAGUUCGCGGUCUCAGGCAUUUUCCCUGUGGUCCUCUAUAUGGUAAUUUUGCUGUAGAAAAUAGCUGGCACUGUCUGGUCUCCUUUUUUGGUGAUGUUUGCGAGAAAAGCUGUCUCUAAUAAAGCUGUAAGGGUAAGAGUA